UAAUUAGAACCCUCCAAAAAGAAGGCCUAGCUGGUUUUUUUUUUUUGGGGGGGGGAAUUUCAAAACAAAAUAUGACCUGGACUUUUUUGGGAAACAUAGUAGUAAGGAGUGGGGUUUGCGGUCAGUUUAUAUUCCGGGGGUGGCUUUCCCUGUCAGUGUUGGUGGCGGUGGUAUUAGACAUUCCUGUAUUUAUGGAAAUACCGGAAGUGACAAAAUGGGCCCAUUGUUCAGCCUGCAAAGACUACAGAGGUUUCCCUUGAGCCUCUGGGAGGCCGAAAAAGGCAUCUAACAGGCAGAAAAUCAGCUGGGAGGCACUCCCAUGCCCAGUGUAGGUAAGAGAGCACUGUGGGGGGGAUCGCGUGCGCAUGGGGCAUGGGGGGCCCCCACGCGCAUUGCCUUCUGGUUGCUGGCAUGUGAGCGCGUGCAAAAUUUUCAACACAGGAGCCGAAAAAGAUUAGCCACCGCUGCUAUAGGACAUUGUCUCUUUGCUCUCUGUGAAGGAGCCUCCUCCCCCCGCGACCCUGGACUACAUGCCAUCACAUGUGCGCAGAUUAACACCCCUCAGACAGCUAUAGAUUUGGAUGGCCUUCUCAAAAAGAGCCCUUCUUCCCAUGUAUAUCUGUGCACUGAACAUUCUUCAAGUCCCUAAGAUGGACCAAGAGUUAAAACCAGAGAAGCAGCGUUAAAGCAUGGCCCAAACGGAUCUCCGGAGGAAAAUUGCCACAAGAUGUCAGCCAUGGAAGCGAUCCACAGGAAAAAAAUCCAGAGGCGCUAAAUCAGAGGCGGCCAGUCUUUCAGCAGUCCGGCAGUCACGUUUUGGAAUAAUUGCAAUGCAUUGUGGGGGGCCCUGUUGGAAGACAUUAGCCCCUCUUCCAAGCCAGGUUGCAAGAGAUGGAUAUUUGAGGCGCUUCUACAAAGACGAGGGGACCAAGUUAUUUUCCAAAGCACUAGAAGGCAAGACAAAAAACACUGGAUGGCAACUAACAGUAACCAAGGAAGAAGGCCUUACUGGCAAUUCUGGGAUUAGACUAUGCAGGAGAGCCCAGAGUUCAAAUCUAUCCUCCAUCACAGAAACCUCCCCAGCUGAUUUUUGAGUUACGACAUCACACUAGUUUCUCGGUUUCCUGCAUGUUGAUGCCACAAAGAAGUAUGUCAGGGUUGAGGUUUACACUAGGACAUGGCUACAGGUGUUUCCCCUCACUUCUUCCUCCCCUCUGUGGAUUCCAAGGACAAAAGAACGGUGUUUGGGACUGGAGACCAGGAGGGAAAGAUCUGAGUUCAAAUCCACCUUCCAUUGUGGAAACCUUCUGGCUGAUUUGGAGCUGAUUACCGUGUCGAAUUUUGCUGGGGAGAUAAGCUGAAGAGACUUCCCAUCAGGGAAGCUCCAGGAUCAAAGGUGGGAUGUAACCCUGAUUUUUUUAAAAAUACAGUAAACAGAUUGGGAACACCCACAAAAUUCCCCCCUCCCUCAGAAAUCUUGAGUGUUGUUGCAUGAAUCUUGCACACUGAUUCCGAUUGCUGGAAGCUGGGUCUUCUUGAAAUUCUGUGUCUGGAAGACUUGGUGGUACUGAGCCGUGGUGGUGCAGUGGUCAGAAUGCAGUACUGCAAGCGACUUCUGCUGAAUGCCGGCUGCCAGCAGCUCGAUUCUCACCAGCUCAAGGUUGACUCAGUCUUUCCAUCCUUCAGAGGUCAAUAAAACGAGGACCCAGAUUGUUGGGAGAAAUAUGCUGAGUCUGUAAACCACUUGGAGAGAGCUGGAAAGCAUCGUGAAGCGGUACAUUACUAUCGAUGCGAAAACUGGAGAAUCAAGCAUUUCAGCUAGUGGGCUGAGGGGGACUUGGCAGCCAAGGAUCAGAAGGUACUUGCGAUCCCUGUCUUACAGAAAUAGAUCAGACAACUUUCAUUAAGAUCAAUUAUCCUUGGAUCACAGAACUUUCGAAGCUCAAUUUUGUAGGAACCCACACGGGAUCUUGAUGUAUUAGGGGUGAGCCAUCCUAAAUUCCUAGCAUAUUCCUAGCAAACCUACGAUAGGGUAUCCUUGAAUCGUCAUCUCCAGCUGAAAGACCCCGGCAAAACUCCAGGCAUUUCUAGAGAUCCUCUCAUGUCUCUGGUCCUCAUCAAGAAGCGAGAUCACUGCUCAGACAAACACUCUUUCCUUCUUGCUCCAAGAAUUCAAAUUGGGGUCCGACGACCGCUUAGAUGUGGUGCGUGCUGAAGAUUCAAAUCUAGUUCCCAGUGCCCGAAAGCAGGGCUGGCAAAGAAACCUUCGGAAACACUGGACAAUCACAAUGGGCCAACACAUCAAAUAAAAAUAAAAAUAAGCAUCUCUAUAAAUAAAUUCAUAUCUAAUGCAAAGAAAUGGAGUCCGUGUUCUACACGAAUCUCUUUCCACAGUGAUUUCCACAGUUUUCUUUGAAAUCUUUUCACGAUAAGGGCUGCUUCGUCCGUCCGCCGCUU